UGCACAGCCAACCAAUUUGUUGGUUGGUUUCUUUCCAUAUAGACUGGCUGCCCGAAAUCAGGACAGUACACUUUCUUAAAUUGGCUACUGGAUAUCAAGCUGUCCCAAAUAAGAUGGACCACCGCUAUAGGGAGCUACGGGUAACGUUGCAGAUACAUGGAUCCAGUUCCAUGAACCUCACCAAAUGAGCAAGAACGUGCCAUUAAAUUUCUGGGAGAUGGAAGCUUUAGAGUAGUGGGCC
rnacentral:lncRNA from 1 species